rnacentral:tRNA from 7 species
GCAGGGGUUCCCAAGCGGCCAACGGGGCGGGGUUCAGGGCUUCGUUGCGUAAGCAUUCGUGGGUUCGAAUCCCAUCCCCUGCA